AUUGAACGCUGGCGGCAUGCUUUACACAUGCAAGUCGAACGGUAACAGCACUUCGGUGGCUGACGAGUGGCGAACGGGUGAGUAAUACAUCGGAACGUGCCUAGUAGUGGGGGAUAACUACUCGAAAGAGUAGCUAAUACCGCAUGAGAUCUAAGGAUGAAAGCAGGGGACCUUCGGGCCUUGCGCUACUAGAGCGGCUGAUGGCAGAUUAGGUAGUUGGUGGGAUAAAAGCUUACCAAGCCGACGAUCUGUAGCUGGUCUGAGAGGACGACCAGCCACACUGGGACUGAGACACGGCCCAGACUCCUACGGGAGGCAGCAGUGGGGAAUUUUGGACAAUGGGCGCAAGCCUGAUCCAGCAAUGCCGCGUGCAGGAUGAAGGCCUUCGGGUUGUAAACUGCUUUUGUACGGAACGAAAAGCCCUCUUCUAAUACAGGAGGGUCAUGACGGUACCGUAAGAAUAAGCACCAGCUAACUACGUG
rnacentral:rRNA from 1 species